rnacentral:rRNA from 1 species
CAGUCGCCGCGGGAAUACAGAGGGUGCAAGCGGUAAUCGGAUUUACUGGGCGUAAAGGGCGCGUAGGUGGUUAUGUAAGUGAGAUGUGAAAUCCCCGGGCUCAACCUGGGAACUGCAUCUUAUACUGCGUAGCUGGAGUGCGGUAGAGGGUAGUGGAAUUUCCGGUGUAGCGGUGAAAUGCGUAGAUAUCGGAAGGAACACCAGUGGCGAAGGCGGCUACCUGGACUGACACUGACACUGAGGCGCGAAAGCGUGGGGAGCAAACAGGAUUAGAUACCCCAGUAGUCCCUGUCUCUUAUAC